UACGAAGGGGGCUAGCGUUGUUCGGAUUUACUGGGCGUAAAGCGCACGUAGGCGGAUCGUUAAGUGAGGGGUGAAAUCCCAGGGCUCAACCCUGGAACUGCCUUUCAUACUGGCGAUCUAGAGUCCGGAAGAGGUGAGUGGAACUCCUAGUGUAGAGGUGGAAUUCGUAGAUAUUAGGAAGAACACCAGUGGCGAAGGCGGCUCACUGGCCCGGUACUGACGCUGAGGCACGAAAGCGUGGGGAGCAAACAGG
rnacentral:rRNA from 1 species